GACGGCGUCGUUGGCAGGUGUAUAAAGGAUACAGUUGUAAGGUUGGAGUGAUAAAAAUCCUUUGUCUUGAUUCAGCCCACUAGUGAUAAUCUUGAUAAUCUUGAUCGAUUAUUAUACAUCUGUUUCAUGUUAUAAUUUUUCUUUGUAGUUCCUUUCUUCCAGUAUGGGCACCUUAAAGUCAGUUUCAGAGUAUCUUAUUAUAUAACUGCAUUGUAUUAGGGGAAGUUGCUUGUGAAAAUACGUAUAGACAAAAUUUCAUACAAAAAAAAUGUGUGCAUGAGGUGAAAUGCACCUGAAGAUUUGUACAAAUUUUCAUUUGGACAUGUUUUUUUAAAACAAAAAGAACUUGAUGUGGAAAUGGAGAGAACCGUACUCAGGAGUGGAAAAAUGAGAAACUGGGAGAAGCCGAAAGAGUUUCAUUUGUCCAUCCCUACUUGAUGAAUCUUUGGUGUGAUCCAUUGAGAGAGUACUGUGGCAUUACACAGUUUAGGUUUGGCUUGUUAUAUGCAUCUGACCUGUGAUGUAGUUUGUGAGCAACUUGUUUCUCUAUGGAUUAAAGAUACUAUUUAUUCAAGACUGAGAAGGUGAUCAGGCUUUAAAAACCCUUUAACAUUAGCAGAAUGGUAGAUUAAGGUGGUGGUGAUCUGUAUUAUUUAUGGCCAUUCAGAGGGUUCAUAAAUCUUGAUGUACCUGGCACUUGCUAUAAAAAUUGGCAUACAUGUAAACAGACACGGAUUAUUUGCCUGCCACAAAGUCCUGAGCAAAGUCAUCAGAAACUCCACAGAUGCUGGUGCAUUGCCAUUUAUAUAUAGCUCCCUUUUCUAUCUGAAAGCACCCAGCACAGAAUACAAUAUAAAACAGUGCCAGUAGCUGACAGUACAAAUAAAGAAAGAAAUCGAAAAAUAAAAGUGUAUAACUCUGAAUAAGUAUUAUUGAAGGACCUCAUUUUUUUUAAAAAAAUAAUGUUUAUUAAAUUUUAAGGAGUUAC